rnacentral:rRNA from 1 species
GAUGAACGCUAGCGGCAGGCCUAACACAUGCAAGUCGAGGGGCAGCACGUCUUCGGAUGGUGGCGACCGGCGCACGGGUGCGUAACGCGUAUGCAACCUACCUCUUACAGUGGGAUAGCCCAGAGAAAUUUGGAUUAAUACCGCAUAGUAUACAGAUUCAGCAUUGGGACUGUAUUAAACAUUUAUGGGUAAGAGAUGGGCAUGCGUUCUAUUAGUUAGUUGGAGUGGUAACGGCACCCCAGACAGCGAUAGAUAGGGGCCCGUCGAGAGGGGGAGUCCCCACCACUGGUACGUGAGACACGGACCAGACUCCUACGGGAGGCAGCAGUGAGGAAUAUUGGAC